GUGGGGAAUAUUGGACAAUGGGCGCAAGCCUGAUCCAGCCAUGCCGCGUGAGUGAUGACGGCCUUAGGGUUGUAAAGCUCUUUCGCUAGGGACGAUAAUGACGGUACCUAGACAAGAAGCCCCGGCUAACUUCGUGCCAGCAGCCGCGGUAAUACGAAGGGGGCUAGCGUUGUUCGGAAUUACUGGGCGUAAAGCGCGUGUAGGCGGGCGAAUAAGUCAGGGGUGAAAUGCCAAGGCUCAACCUUGGAACUGCCUUUGAUACUGUUCGUCUUGAGUCCGGGAGAGGUGAGUGGAACUGCGAGUGUAGAGGUGAAAUUCGUAGAUAUUCGCAAGAACACCAGUGGCGAAGGCGGCUCACUGGCCCGGAACUGACGCUGAGACGCGAAAGCGUGGGGAGCAAACAGGAUUAGAUACCCUUGUAGUCC
rnacentral:rRNA from 1 species